ACACAAGCAUCUGUUAGGAGGGAGCAGGUGUGAUCUAUGUCCCCGCAUUAUUUGGCUUCAAAAAGUCUCACUUGUUUCUUUGGGUUUGACACAGUUUUUGAUGACUUUGGGUUGGCACAGUGAGAUAUAUGAGAGGAUUUUGCUGUUUUAUUUAUAUACCUACAUCCACUCCCAACAGUGAGGAAAUCUACUCAUUGAUGACCAUCCAAGUGGGUAAUAUGGCUAGAAUAGGAGACGCAACAAGCCUUGGCAGGAAUAUGUGACCAGAAGCCAGCUAUGUAUGGAGUUUACUUAGAAUCAACAAAUAAAAGAAGGAAAUUACAUGGUCCGAUGGAGCACUGGUGACCUGAAAGAUCAUCUGAGAAGAGGAAAAGACACGUACAUUGUACUAGAAGUAUCAAUGUGCUCUCAUCCUGGGAUCAAUAUAUCUUAGACAAAUCAUGUACCAUUGCUUGUAUCAGCUCAUACAUAGGUCAUGAAAAUGAUCACAUCGAUGACAAGGCUUACCUACAAGUAUUUGAUAGCCAAGACCUUUUUAGGAAAGUGUCAAAAUUAUCUAAGAAGCUAGCAGCAGGAAGACACCAUCCCUUGUAGGUAGAGUGGCUUAGAUGUGGCUCACUGGUGGUCUUACAAGAUCUGUUUCAUGCAGGCAGACAUGAAGUCCUACAAAUCAGGACAGCCUCGUGCUUAAGAUUGAAAACAGAGAUAGAAUCAUUCAAUACUUCAAGGUGAAGGUUCCCUUACUCUCCAUCUGGGCCUGUCCAUGAGUCAGCAAAUCUUAUUUGAGUUGCUAUUAGGAGUUCUUUCCCUCUAACAAUGCUGUUGAGAGCUGUAGCUUUCCCUAUGAGUCUUCAACUGCAGGGCUGACUUGACACAAGCAACUAUGCUGUUGGGCUAUUCUUCAUGACAAAUAAUAUAUAAUCUAUGGUUGAUGCUAGCUGAUCAAUGUUAGAUAUUGCUAAAAACUUCUGUUAUAAUCAAUGCAUGGCCUAUGGAAACCUAGACUGCAGUCUAGAGACCAUUGUAGUUCAAAUGGAUGUCUAUAAGAGUUUCUUUUAUCAAAAGAUUCUUCUUUGUGGAGUUUCUAGGUUCAAGGUCAAGUCAAGACUAAGUCAUUGUCAGAGUGAUUAGAACCAUCAUGCUUUUUGCUUGAGGGAAAUCUCCACUCUGAGGCUUAUGCUCAGCCUUUGCUUGACUAAUUUACCGAUGGUUCCAACAGGCCAUAGAACACAAACAUGGAGCUUAAAGAAAAGGCAAGCUUUUUAUCAAGGAUAGAAGACAUUUAUCACUUUGUCUUCCCAUGUGGCAUUUCAUGCUUGUAUAUUAGAGUUGCAUUUACCCUCAAAAGGCCAUGCAUUUUGCUCUAAAAUCUAAAUUUAUGACAGUAAGAGUAAAAGAGAAUCAAGGAAAUUUGGCAUAAAAAUUGGGAAUUGUUUUUAAAGUUCUUAUAAAGUCAAAUGUAACUCACCGACAUAGUAGCACUUCAUAACCCAUGUAAUGCCUAGAGGAUGAGAAAUGGCUGCCCCAAGGAUUCACACUCUAGAUCAGUAAUUUUCAACCUUCCUAAUGCUGCAACCCUUCCUAAUGUUGUGUUGUCCCCCCAAUCAUAAAAUUAUUUUCAUUUCUACUUCAUAACUACAAUUUUGCUACAGUUAUGUAUCAUAAUGUAAAUAUCUGAAAUACGGGGUAUCUAAUAUUGGACCCAAGGAAAGUCAGUUUAACCGUCAAAUGUUGUGACCCUCGGGUUGAGAACUACUGCUGUGGAUCAUAUUCCUGGAUUGUUACAAGAAUCAAGUAAAAAUAUCGGUAUGGUAGGACUAUAUUUUAUUGCUUUGCUAAAUAUAAACCUUACUGUGUGAUCAAAUUUUAAGUGGAAUACAGCAAAAAGCAUGUAGAUCUGCUUUCAAUGAUGAAUAAUGGUCACUCUUCCUGACUCUUGAAACAGUAACAGUGCUGUGUACAGGCAUGUAUGGGUUGAAUUCAUCUAAUUAUUCCACAUUUAGUAGGCACUGCUAGCAGUCUCCUUCCAUUGCCCAUAUCAUGAAAAGGAAGGAGGAGGAGAUGGGGGAGGAAGGAAGAUAGCAAAAUACACAAGAAGCGAAUAAAUCCAAUUUAGAGGAAAGAGUGAAUUGAACUCCAGAAGUGUGUUCAUUACAAUGAGACCUCAGAAGUCGAGGGAAAUAGGGAACACUCUUUUGGAGCUUGUGACCUCAAAGAAACCAUUUUCCCUGAGUAUUUAGGGUAAGGACAAAGUCAAGCAUUAGCAGGCUCUUCAUGGUAUUACUGCACAUCACUCAGAAUCUUAAACUAUGAUUUAAAUCGUAAGAUGCACUGUGACUGUGGCAAGAGCUAUUCUGUGCUCUACUUACUUCCACAUUCCUAUGUGAACCUGUGAAGAUUUCUUCCCAGGAUGAGUGAAAGGCCACUG
rnacentral:lncRNA from 1 species